UAAUACAGAGGGGGCAAGCGUUAUUCGGAAUUAUUGGGCGUAAAGGGCGCGUAGGCGGCUUUUCAAGUGACGGGUGAAAUCCCUCGGCUUAACCGAGGAACUGCCUGUCAGACUGGAAGGCUUGAGACCGGGAGAGGUGAGUGGAAUUCCCAGUGUAGCGGUGAAAUGCGUAGAUAUUGGGAGGAACACCAGUGGCGAAGGCGGCUCACUGGACCGGAACUGACGCUGAGGCGCGAAAGCGUGGGGAGCAAACAGGAUUAGAUACCCUGGUAGUCCACGCCGUAAACGAUGGGCGCUAGGUGUGGGCGGUGUCGACUCCGUCCGUGCCGAAGCUAACGCAUUAAGCGCCCCGCCUGGGGAGUACGGCCGCAAGGCUA
rnacentral:rRNA from 1 species